CUCCGGGAGCAGCUCUGCUGUCUGUGUGUGCAGAGCAAGGGCCUUGGCCCUGGUACCACUGCUGACAUGUCCUCAGCCCAGCUCCGGGAGCAGCUCUGGGCACCGCAGGGCUGUGUGGGUGUCUGAGGAGCACACACCUGCCUGGGGCAAAGGCAGAGGAACAGGCCAGGUCUGAGGAAGGAAUAACCCUUGUACACUGCCGGACGCGGCUCUGCUCUACCUUGCGAGCCCAACUUCAUUGCAACUUUUGCUCCUUUUUCCCAAUCCGUGUUGUCCAAAGCCACAGGACACGUCCAUCAGGGUGCUGGGACAUCCUCUCAAGCAGCUGAGUGCCCGUGGUGUCCCAACCCUGACAGCUCCCAGCUGGCUGCUGAGGUGGAUGCAGGGCUUGGUGCUCUCCUGGGACGGCAGAAGGAUGCUCGCCACUAUGGAGCAGCUCCUGAUUGCACACGGAUCUGCUUCCAAUCAGCCACGACUGCCAGGUCAGCUCCAUCCACACGAGCUGCAGGUCCCUCCACCUUGUGAAGUGAUGGACCACAAACAGAAUCAAUUCAUGCUUGAAGUCAUUUUUACCCUGUUUUUUCUGGAACAUGACAAGACAGCACUUCUCCCAUGACAGGACUGGUUUGGGUGUGUUUUGCUGGGAGCAGUUGGGUGCCACCAGUGGAGGUCACUACACUUAAUGGAAAUAUUUAUGACAAAAUA